GACGAACGCUGGCGGCGUGCCUAAUACAUGCAAGUCGAGCGGAAGUUGAAGAGCUUGCUCUUCAACUUUAGCGGCGGACGGGUGAGUAACACGUGGGCAACCUGCCCUGCAGAUCGGGAUAACUCCGGGAAACCGGUGCUAAUACCGAAUAGUUUUGGGUCCCUCCUGGGACCUAACGGAAAGACGGUUUCGGCUGUCACUGCAGGAUGGGCCCGCGGCGCAUUAGCUAGUUGGUGGGGUAACGGCCCACCAAGGCGACGAUGCGUAGCCGUCCUGAGAGGGUGAUCGGCCACACUGGGACUGAGACACGGCCCAGACUCCUACGGGAGGCAGCAGUAGGGAAUCUUCCGCAAUGGACGCAAGUCUGACGGAGCAACGCCGCGUGAGUGAUGAAGGUUUUCGGAUCGUAAAACUCUGUUGCGAGGGAAGAAACCGUGCCAAUUAACUACUGGCACCUUGUCGGUACCUCGCCAGAAAGCCACGGCUAACUACGUGCCAGCCGCCGCCAUAA
rnacentral:rRNA from 1 species